rnacentral:rRNA from 1 species
UAAUACGGAGGAUCCGAGCGUUAUCCGGAUUUAUUGGGUUUAAAGGGAGCGUAGGCGGGUUGUUAAGUCAGUUGUGAAAGUUUGCGGCUCAACCGUAAAAUUGCAGUUGAUACUGGCGACCUUGAGUGCAACAGAGGUAGGCGGAAUUCGUGGUGUAGCGGUGAAAUGCUUAGAUAUCACGAAGAACUCCGAUUGCGAAGGCAGCUUACUGGAUUGUAACUGACGCUGAUGCUCGAAAGUGUGGGUAUCAAACAGGAUUAGAUACCCUGGUAGUCCACACAGUAAACGAUGAAUACUCGCUGUUGGCGAUAUACUGUCAGCGGCCAAGCGAAAGCAUUAAGUAUUCCACCUGGGGAGUACGCCGGCAACGGUG